UAACAAGGAUUCCCCUAGUAGCGGCGAGCGAAGCGGGAAGAGCUCAAAUUUAUAAUCUGGCACCUUCGGUGUCCGAGUUGUAAUCUCUAGAAAUGUUUUCCGCGUUGGACCGCACACAAGUCUGUUGGAAUACAGCGGCAUAGUGGUGAGACCCCCGUAUAUGGUGCGGACGCCCAGCGCUUUGUGAUACAUUUUCGAAGAGUCGAGUUGUUUGGGAAUGCAGCUCAAAUUGGGUGGUAAAUUCCAUCUAAAGCUAAAUAUUGGCGAGAGACCGAUAGCGAACAAGUACCGUGAGGGAAAGAUGAAAAGCACUUUGGAAAGAGAGUUAACAGUACGUGAAAUUGUUGGAAGGGAAACGCUUGAAGUCAGACUUGCUUGCUGAGCAAUCGGUUUGCAGGCCAGCAUCAGUUUUCCGGGAUGGAUAAUGGUAGAGAGAAGGUAGCAGUUUCGGCUGUGUUAUAGCUCUCUGCUGGAUACAUCUUGGGGGACUGAGGAACGCAGUGUGCCUUUGGCGGGGGUUUCGACCUCUUCACACUUAGGAUGCUGG
rnacentral:rRNA from 1 species